AGCGAACGCUGGCGGCAGGCCUAACACAUGCAAGUCGAACGAAGUCUUCGGACUUAGUGGCGGACGGGUGAGUAACACGUGGGAACGUACCUUUUGGUUCGGAACAACUCAGGGAAACUUGAGCUAAUACCGGAUGAGCCCUUAGGGGGAAAGAUUUAUCGCCGAAAGAGCGGCCCGCGUUAGAUUAGCUAGUUGGUGAGGUAAAGGCUCACCAAGGCAACGAUCUAUAGCUGGUCUGAGAGGAUGAUCAGCCACACUGGGACUGAGACACGGCCCAGACUCCUACGGGAGGCAGCAGUGGGGAAUCUUGCGCAAUGGGCGAAAGCCUGACGCAGCCAUGCCGCGUGAAUGAUGAAGGUCUUAGGAUUGUAAAAUUCUUUCACCGGGGACGAUAAUGGCGGUACCCGGAGAAGAAGCCCCGGCUAACUUCGUGCCAGCCGCCGCUGUAAUAC
rnacentral:rRNA from 1 species